rnacentral:rRNA from 1 species
GCCCUUCGGGGUGGAUUAGUGGCGAACGGGUGAGUAACACGUGGGCAAUCUGCCCUUCACUCUGGGACAAGCCCUGGAAACGGGGUCUAAUACCGGAUAACACUCUGUCCCGCAUGGGACGGGGUUAAAAGCUCCGGCGGUGAAGGAUGAGCCCGCGGCCUAUCAGCUUGUUGGUGGGGUGAUGGCCUACCAAGGCGACGACGGGUAGCCGGCCUGAGAGGGCGACCGGCCACACUGGGACUGAGACACGGCCCAGACUCCUACGGGAGGCAGCAGUGGGGAAUAUUGCACAAUGGGCGAAAGCCUGAUGCAGCGACGCCGCGUGAGGGAUGACGGCCUUCGGGUUGUAAACCUCUUUCAGCAGGGAAGAAGCGAAAGUGACGGUACCUGCAGAAGAAGCGCCGGCUAACUACGUGCCAGCAGCCGCGGUAAUACGUAGGGCGCAAGCGUUGUCCGGAAUUAUUGGGCGUAAAGAGCUCGUAGGCGGCUUGUUGCGUCGGUUGUGAAAGCCCGGGGCUUAACCCCGGGUCUGCAGUCGAUACGGGCAGGCUAGAGUGUGGUAGGGGAGAUCGGAAUUCCUGGUGUAGCGGUGAAAUGCGCAGAUAUCAGGAGGAACACCGGUGGCGAAGGCGGAUCUCUGGGCCAUUACUGACGCUGA